GAGACACCCCUCCGGGGCAAGACUUGCUUCAGUGUGGCUUUGGUGCUCACUGAGUCAGCCCCCUGAAUGUGUCCCU
rnacentral:pre_miRNA from 1 species